UAAUAGUUUUAUUUAUAAUAUAAUUCAAAUUUUGAUUUAAAAUAUUCAGUAUAGCUAUUUAUAUAUGGGUAAAUAAAUGUUUUUUUUUUUGGGUGGGGUGCAGUUGAGGGGGGCUCGUGGCCCAGUAGAGCUUUACCCCUGAGACUAACAAGGGGAACAGUGGAGAUAAACUGGAAGACCUGGAGCUCGGCAAAGAGAUUUGUACGAAGCAUGUGGAAGAACAGGGAAACACACCUCAGUAAUCACAAGUGCAUCAUAAUAAAUUAGAGUGAUAGUCGGGUAUUUUCUUUGGAUGGACGGACGGACGAACGGAUAGAUAGUAUUGAACAAGCAGGCAACAGAUGCUCUAACUCAGGGGUGUCCAAACUCGGUCCUGGAGGGCCGGUGUCCUGCAGAUUUUAGCUCCAACUUGCCUCAACACACCUGCAAAGAUGUUUCUAGAAAGCCUGGUAAGAG